UGACGUAGUUGUGCUCGGCAGGAUCGAGUUUGAAACGGAUGUGGUUGGAGAUGUGAUCGUUGUGGAAUUGAUGAAGGAGAGGAUCCGCCGGUGUGGUAGCCGCGAGAGGGACGACGGGCAUGGGAGCGGAAGGGGCGGCAGUGGUGGAAGGGAGGAGAGGAGGAGAGGUCCCGGGAGUCGAGGACGGAGGAGGGGACGAGCCGGCGGCGACGUCAGCGGAGGGGAGGUCGCCGAAGAUGUCCUCGAAGCCCAUGGCGAUUGAUGCCAAGCUAGAGGGAGAGGGGGUCGCAGUGUACUGUUGUAUUGAGUGAGUUACGGAGGAGGUACACAUAUAGGGCGAUCCCCAACUGCUCCCGUCAGAAUAGGCACGCAGGCCAUGACUGGGUGCGAUCGCAUAAGAUCCUACAAUCUAGAGUUACAAUACAACAGAAGUACAUACAAUAUGAAUACAUGUACAGCUCGUUAACAGAGACAGGGAGAUCCCCUUUCACCUUUCCUUUUUAACAUAACUGCCAACUGCUUGCAGCAAAUGAUUCAGUUAGCCCAGACAAGUGGUCAGAUUGUGGGCCUGAUACUCCACCUGAUUGAUAAGGGAGUUGUCAUUUUGCAAUAUGUUGAUGAUACUAUCUUGUUCAUAUAGGGUGAUCUGGACAGUGCUAGGAACCUCAAAUUGUUGUUGUGUUUCAUUGAACGGAUGUCGGGUUUGAAAAUCAGUUUUCAAAAAAGUGGGGUCCUGAUGGUGCUACAGGAUGAUGAUAAAAGGCGAGUUAUGAUGCCCAAUUUCAGUUCAAAUUAGGUGCCUGGCCUAUCAAAUAUUUACAUGUUGUUGGCUGGAUUCAUGCUGAAAAGAAUAUUGUGGAGAGCUGGAAACCUGUCCCUUGGUGGCAAGGUGACUAAAAUCAAAGCUUGUUUAACCAGUAUUCCAAUUUACCAUUUCUUCAUGUAAAGGCAUGUUAUUUGUCCACCCUUUCUAAUAGAAGGGUUUUUUGGCAAGAGAAAAGCAAUAAGAGCAAAUGUCACUGGGUGAGAAGGCAUGUUAUUUGUAGGCAAAAGAAGAAAGGAGGGCUGGGUAUCCACAAUUUAGAGAAAUUCAAUGUCAGUCUCAUGUGUAAAUGGUGGUGGAAUCUGGAGAAUAAAGAAGUUAUGUGGCAGAAUGUAGUUAAAAAGAAAUAUGAGUUACAAUUGCUAAUGAUUCUCCAUGCUGGGUUGAUUUGAUGAAACUAAAACACAUCUAUAUAAAAGGUAGAAUUAUGACACCACUUCAUCCAUCCGGCUUUGAUUCGAUGGUUCACAUCUUCAUCAAUACCCCCAUCCUCCUGCAGCAUUGACCCCAAAUACCGAAAGGUGUCCUUCUAAGGUACCACCUGGCCAUCAAGGCUAACCUCCUCCUCCUCACACCUAGUAGUACUGAAACCGCACAUCAUGUACUCGGUUUUAGUCCUACUAAGCCUAAACCCUUUCGAUUCCAAGGUUUGUCUCCAUAACUAUGGAGAUAUUCAAAGAAUUACAACUUGAGGUAUGGGAUCUGACAGAGUUAGCCGAUGGUCACCAUUCUAUCAUCCCAAGCACCGUUCACAGCGAUAAAACAAUACUCCACUUAGACGUAAAGCAAUCUGAUCAAAAUUUAGAAGAGCACACAAAUCAGAACAUUUGACAACUGCCAAAGGAGAUAAACAUGUUCGACCUUCCUUACGAUAACUUCAAAAUCUGGAACAAAAUCUGGAACAGGAUUAGUUCAGGGUUCAAAGGGUGCUGCUCCACCACUAGACUGACAGUCGGUAUAUCAGGCGCUACAUUUGACAACGAUAAGAACACUGGAUUCCAGACACCAAAGACAAUUUUCCUGACCAUAUGCUCACUUGAGAGGAAUGAACCUCGACGAGUGGGUGGCACCGAUACCGGGCCUCCCGUGCUUCACCGGCUUGUACGACAGGGAGAACUCUGCCAGGUAGUGCCCAAUCAUCUCCGGCUUGAUCUCCA
rnacentral:lncRNA from 1 species